rnacentral:rRNA from 1 species
UUUUUUUUUGUUACCGCCGAGAACUAGCAUAUCAAUAMSSGGAGGAARRGAAACUAACAAGGAUUCCCCUAGUAACUGCGAGUGAAGCGGGAAAAGCUCAAAUUUAAAAUCUGGCGGUCUUUGGCCGUCCGAGUUGUAAUCUAGAGAAGUGUUAUCCGCGCUGGACCGUGUACAAGUCUCCUGGAAUGGAGCGUCAUAGAGGGUGAGAAUCCCGUCUUUGACACGGACUGCCAGGGCUUUGUGAUGCGCUCUCAAAGAGUCGAGUUGUUUGGGAAUGCAGCUCAAAAUGGGUGGUAAAUUCCAUCUAAAGCUAAAUAUUGGCGAGAGACCGAUAGCGAACAAGUACCGUGAGGGAAAGAUGAAAAGAACUUUGGAAAGAGAGUUAAACAGUACGUGAAAUUGCUGAAAGGGAAACGCUUGAAGUCAGUCGCGUUGUCUGGGGAUCAACCUUGCUUUUGCUGGGCGUACUUUCCAGAUGACGGGUCAGCAUCAAUUUUGACCGUUGGAUAAAGUCUGGAGGAAUGUGGCAUCUUCGGAUGUGUUAUAGCCUCUAGUUGCAUACAACGGUUGGGAUUGAGGAACUCAGCACGCCGCAAGGCCGGGUACUUGUACCACGUUCGUGCUUAGGAUGCUGGCAUAAUGGCUUUAAUCGACCCGUCUUGAAACACGGACCAAGGAGUCUAACAUGCCUGCGAGUAUUUGGGUGGAAAACCCGAGUGCGUAAUGAAAGUGAAAGUUGAGAUCCUUGUCAUGGGGAGCAUCGACGCCCGGACCAGACCUUUUGUGACGGAUCUGCGGUAGAGCAUGUAUGUUGGGACCCGAAAGAUGGUGAACUAUGCCUGAAUAGGGUGAAGCCAGAGGAAACUCUGGUGGAGGCUCGUAGCGAUUCUGACGUGCAAAUCGAUCGUCAAAUUUGGGUAUAGGGGCGAAAGACUAAUCGAACCAUCUAGURGCUGGUCCUGCGAUCUCUCUCCCCAGUAUAAAAAAAAAAAAAAA